GGAACUCGUCAGCCCCUGCCGCCCCCAGCUGCUCCGGAGGUGAGGAGGGGAGUCACUGUUGUUACAUUUUCUUUUUGCAGGGGGGGUUUCGUGUGUGUGUGUGUGUGUGUGUGUGUGUGUGUGUGUGUGUGUGUGUGUGUGUGUGUGUGUAUUUCUGUGUUUUUAUUGCCAGCAGCGAUCACUUUGAGCCAGGUAGGAUUGUGCCCUUGGGGUGCGGGUGCAUGGGGUUGGAGGUACACUGCUAGGGUGUAUGUGGUACUCGUGGUACUCCAGGUGAUGCCCUCCUUAUUGUAAACGUAUACACUUGCCAAAAGGUGAAGGCUGUACUGAGGUUCAGUCCCACUUUGGGCUGCCUCUCUCCCCCUACUAGUCCUGGUUAUGGGACCUGGGGAUGCUGUAGCUGUAGGCCAGGUGUAGUGAUAACUGUGUUGGCAGACGGGGGAUCAUGAGACCGGAGUCGGAGAGCGCGUGGGUGGUGGAAUGUGGUGAGAUGUGUUUAAAUGGCUCCAGAAUGCCGGGAUCCCUCUUCCCGCAUAGCCCGCAAAACACAGACUUUUGUCAACCAGUGUCGCUUAGGUAGAGGAAUGUGUUUGUGUGCGUGCGUGUGUGUGUGAGUGUGUGUGUAUCCUUUCUUGUGUAAAUGCAUGCACACAACAAGGACAUAACCGGAUUCAAAUCGAGCUCAAACUGAGGAAGGUGAAUGGAACCGUUCAUGCAGACUCCGUUCCACCCCGCUCCACGUGGAGACAAGCUAUUCAUUCGAGGACACCGGAAGAUUCACGGCGAACAAUAGAGUUUAAUAAUGCCAAACAAAUCUGCUGCUCUAUCAUUUUUUUGUACUGCUUUAACCGACCUCGAGGACAGAUUUUGGCCUUUGUUACAUUUGAUUCAGUCUGUUUUCAAACCAGGUUCUUUGUCCCAGGGAGCUUUCGGUUUGAAAGGGCCGAGGCCUGUGUGCAUGUGCUCAGAGUAUCAGUCCUGUGUCGUACUCUCCCUGGCACUCUAGACGUAUGUCACCUUCUGCAGGGACCUGAAAGGAGAUCUGUCACUUGGAGUCACCCUUAUCCAACGUUCAGGGAAUGUAUUGCCUUACAAGCGUGCAUGGGAGAAUGCAAUGGAUUAUGUUAUCGUACAAUGCGAAACGUCCUCCCGAGCAGAACACAGAAUCCCAAAGACAAACGGGAAAAACACAGUGUGACCUCGAGUAUGUUUAUUGACGCUUGCUUUGUGUUUGUUUUGAUUGUUUUUGUUUUGUCUGCUGACGCAGAUGGGUCCGAAUCAUCUAAACAUGCGUAAGUAGCGGUUAUUUCGGACGUUAACCCCGUGGUCGUCAUGGGCAUGGUGGAAAUGUCUCGGUCUGCACACACAUGCACACGCACACACACACGCAGACACAGACACAGACACACACGCACACACAUUCAGACACACAGACACACACACACACACACACACACACACACACACACACACACACACACACACACACACACCACACACACACACACACACACACACAGACACACACACACGCACAGACCAUUUGCAGUUGGAUGUUUAAAGAUGCCUAUUUUGUUUGACCUUUCUCUGAUGUGCUGCGGUUAAUUAAAACUGACUGAUGUCUUUUUAGACCUCAGGGGUUCAGUGCUAAGUCGCGUGAUAGUGUAUGUGUGUGUGUUUGUGUGUGUGUGCGUGUGUGUGUGUGUGUGUGUGUGUGUGUGUGCAUGUGUGUGUGUGUGUGCAUGUGUGUGUGUGUGUGUGUGUGCAUGUGUCUGUGUGUACACCAACAGCACAGAAGAGGUUCCUGAAGAGGAUGAGGAAAAAAGAAGAGACUACGGUGGAGUGUAUGUUGGACUGCCCACUGACCUCAGCAACGUCCCUCAAGUUCAGAUAGGGGCACUCAGAGACUAUGAGAAAGGUGGCUUAUCAUUACAGACCCCACUGUGGAGGGAUGGAAUCCAGGCGUAAGGACUCACAAGCGCUACAGAAGAGAGACAAAAGAGUGCGAUGAGCAGGAGAGCAGGCAGAGACACACACACACACACACACACACACACACACACACACCCAACCCUGGGCCCCCUGUCAGUCAGCCCUCACCCGGUCCCGGUGUUGGGUUAGGCCCCUGGGGGACCAACAUCUCCGUCAGCAGUCCUCUCUCCAGGGUCUGACAUGGUUUGGGGGGGGGGCCCUUAGUGAGCUGCUCCUGGCCCUCUUUAUUACCCCCCUGGGGCCCGGGUAGGGACCUGGCUCUCUUUAUUACCCCCCUGGGGCCCCGGUAGGGACCUGGCGUGCCUUAAGGGCCCCUGCCGCGCAGACAUGCUGGGACUCGCGCUGCGGAGGACGGAGGGGCCUGGAGCCGGUUCCGGCGGCGCGUUGCCGUGGGAGACGGAAACAAACAAUGGCGAUUCCGUGUCGAGGAGCCUUUGAGGAGCGGUUCUGUUGGUUUCAACGAAGACCGUCGAGGUUCCUGAGUUGUUGUGGUUGUUGAGUUGUGAGGUUCAUAUGAGAUGUGUGUUUAAUGUAAAUGUAAUGUUUGUGUUUGUUUUUGUGUUCGGCUCAAUAUGAAACGUUUGGGUCCAAGAGUGAGGGAAAGGGAUGAAAUAUAUUAGCUGAAACUUUA